UUGACCUCAAAUCAGGUAGGACUACCCGCUGAACUUAAGCAUAUCAAUAAGCGGAGGAAAAGAAACCAACAGGGAUUGCCUCAGUAACGGCGAGUGAAGCGGCAAAAGCUCAAAUUUGAAAUCUAGCACCUUCGGUGUUCGAGUUGUAAUUUGAAGAUGGUAACCUUGGGUUUGGCUCUUGUCUAUGUUCCUUGGAACAGGACGUCAUAGAGGGUGAGAAUCCCGUCUGAUGAGAUGCCCAUUCCUAUGUAAGGUGCUAUCGAAGAGUCGAGUUGUUUGGGAAUGCAGCUCUAAGUGGGUGGUAAAUUCCAUCUAAAGCUAAAUAUUGGCGAGAGACCGAUAGCGAACAAGUACAGUGAUGGAAAGAUGAAAAGAACUUUGAAAAGAGAGUGAAAAAGUACGUGAAAUUGUUGAAAGGGAAGGGCAUUAGAUCAGACUUGGUGUUUUACGAUUAUCUUCUCUUCUUGAGUUGUGCACUCGUAUUUCACUGGGCCAGCAUCGAUUCGGAUGGCAAGAUAAUGGCAGUUGAAUGUGGCUUCACUUCGGUGGAGUGUUAUAGCUUCUGCUGAUAUUGCCUGUCUGGAUCGAGGGCUGCGUCUUUUGACUAGGAUGCUGGCGUAAUGAUCUAAUGCCGC
rnacentral:rRNA from 1 species